UACAGAGGAGCCAAGCGUUGUCCGGAUUGACUGGGCGUAAAGCGCACGCAGGCGGUCGCGCGCGUGGGGUGUGAAAUCUGGCCGCUUAACGGCCAGGCGCCAUCCCAUACGGCACAACUGGAGUGAUGCAGAGGUCGAUGGAAUUGCCGGUGUAGUGGUGAAAUGCGUAGAGAUCGGCAGGAACACCCAGGGGGAAACCAGUCGACUGGGCAUCUACUGACGCUGAGGUGCGAGAGCGUGGGGAGCGAACCGG
rnacentral:rRNA from 1 species